UCAGUUUUAGGUCGGGUUAUCCUGAGUAGGCCUGUGAGACGGUUAGGUUUAGGGUCAGUUUUAGGUCGGGUUAUCCUGAGUAGGUCUGUGAGACGGUUAGGUUUAGGGUCAGUUUUAGGUCGGGUUAUCCUGAGUAGGCCUGUGAGACGGUUAGGUUUAGGGUCAGUUUUAGGUAUAUAGGUAAAAGCGAGUUUCACCCUCAUUAAUUCGACCCUCAUUAGCAUAUGCGAUCUGAUUGGCCGAAGCUUACCUGGCCGUAUCUUUUGAAGCGGAGGUCCGACGUGCACAUAAGUGGUAUCGUUGGAUUCAGAAAUCUGUCUUCUUUCAGGUAGCGUGGAUGUCUGGAAGACAGGUAUAUAGAUAAAAGCGAGUUUCACCCUCAUUGGUUCCACCUUCAUUAGCAUAUGCGAUCUGAUUGGCCAAAGCUUACCUGGCCGUAUCUUUUGAAGCGGAGGUCCGACGUGCACAUAACUGGUAUCGUUGGAUUCAGAAAGCUGUCUUCUUUCAGGUAGCGUGGAUGUCUGGAAGACAGGAUGUUGCUAGGGUAAAUUUUAGGUCGGGUUAUCCUGAGUAGGUCUGUGAGACGGUUAGGUUUAGGGUCAGUUUUAGGUCGGGUUAUCCUGAGUAGGCCUGUGAGACGGUUAGGUUUAGGGUCAGUUUUAGGUCGGGUUAUCCUGAGUAGGUCUGUGAGACGGUUAGGUUUAGGGUCAGUUUUAGGUCGGGUUAUCCUGAGUAGGCCU